UGGGGAAUAUUGCGCAAUGGACGAAAGUCUGACGCAGCGACGCCGCGUGUGGGAGGAAGCUCUUCGGGGUGUAAACCACUGUCAGGAGGGAAGAACGGCGCCGGUUCGAACAGUUCCGGCGAUUGACGGUACCUCCAAAGGAAGCGCCGGCUAACUCCGUGCCAGCAGCCGCGGUAAUACGUAGGGACCAAGCGUUGUUCGGAUUUACUGGGCGUAAAGGGCGCGUAGGCGGCAAUUCAAGUCAUCUGUGAAAUCUCCGGGCUUAACUCGGAACGGUCAGAUGAUACUGCUUUGCUAGAGUGCAGAAGGGGCAAUCGGAAUUCUUGGUGUAGCGGUGAAAUGCGUAGAUAUCAAGAGGAACACCUGAGGUGAAGACGGGUUGCUGGGCUGACACUGACGCUGAGGCGCGAAAGCCAGGGGAGCAAACGGGAUUAGAUACCCCUGUAGUCCCUGAGCGGGCUGGCAAGGCGCAU
rnacentral:rRNA from 1 species